rnacentral:rRNA from 1 species
CUGCGGAAGGAUCAUUAAAGAGUUAGGGUCCCAGUGGCCCAACCUCCAACCCUCUGUUGUUAAAACUACCUUGUUGCUUUGCCGGGACCGGUCCUCGGACCGCGUUAGCCCUCGGGCUGGCGAGCGCCCGGCAGAGUCCAACCAAACUCUUGUAUUAAACCAGUCGUCUGAGUAUAAAAUUUUAAUUAAAUUAAAACUUUCAACAACGGAUCUCUUGGUUCUCGCAUCGAUGAAGAACGCAGCGAAAUGCGAUAAGUAAUGUGAAUUGCAGAAUUCAGUGAAUCAUCGAAUCUUUGAACGCACAUUGCGCCCCUUGGUAUUCCGAGGGGCAUGCCUGUUCGAGCGUCAUUACACCACUCAAGCACUGCUUGGUAUUGGGCAUCGUCCGUCGAAAGGCGGGCGUGCCUCGAAGACCUCGGCGGGGUUUCACCAACUUCGGGCGUAGUAGAGUUAAAUCAAAACGUCUUAUAAGCUUGGUGGGGCCUCAUUGCCGUUAAACCUUUUAUUUUUCAGGUUGACCUCGGAUCAGGUAGGGAUACCCGCUGAACUUAAGCAUAUCAAUAAGCGGAGG